CGCACGCCUCACCGCUGCACCUCAGCAGGCCUGACAUCCACGCUCAGGGGGGACGACCAACAACCCCCUUCAGAAAUACAGCAGCCUGCACUGUAAUUAAAGCCUGGCCCAGACGUGAGACCGCGGCUGACACAGCAUGGGACGGAGCAGAGACCCAGCGGACUGAUAAGUCAUACAUGUUUGGACUGACACAAGAUGAGGUGUGUUCCUUUAAAUGCUUAUUUGGAAGAAAUGGUGGGCCCACGACCAGCCCGGCUGCUUUAGCCCGGACCCUGCCCUUUCAGCUCAAUCGACACUGACAGAUCCCUGGCCUGAGAUUGCCAACUGGCACACGGGAAGCGAAUGAAAGAGUGAUGGAGAAAGAGCGAGUCCGAUUCGGACCGGGUCAGAGCGGAAAGUUGUCGUAAUCCAAGUGCCCUUUGAACUCUGUCCAGUAAUGAGUGUGAAUCUAUUUGGCUGCCGGUUUGGUCGCCAAAAGCAGCGAGUCCAGAGCUCAUCGCUGUCGUGGCCUUGAGCGCGAUACUUAACCUCCAGUUCCUCCAGAGGGACUGAACCUGUAAUAAGUUCAUGGCUCUUCUAUGGUGAAAUAAUUAUUUUCUAUACUUUGAAAUUGAUCAGAUAUUCAAGUAAAGCAGUCAGCUCUAUGGAGGUGCGCUAUUAAGGGCUCAUAAUUACAGCUCUCAGGUUCAAUCAUGCACAAGUAACGCAAAUAGCAAAUGCAAACACACCAUAGAGUGAAUAUCACGCUCCAUUUGCUCUCACUGCGUCUUUAUUCUUCACCUAUAGAGUUAUCCUCCUCUCACAGAAUGACGGCACUGUGGUUUCACUCUGGUCCAGCUGAGUGAAUUAACAUGGUCCCAGGCUGCAGAUUAUAUAGCAGGUUAACCACUGAAAGAGAUGUGCACCGUUCAGGAAAAAAUCAAUCAAGAUUAGCUUCUCCACCUCUCAAUAGAGCACUGUGAACCUCCUCAGGGGGUUAAGCACCAAUCCCAGAGCUGAGAGAGAGACGAGACCAAGAGACAAUACGGGACUCACGCUCACAGGGCAGGUCUAAAUCUUUCAGCCAUCUCAGUCUUUAAAUGAAAAGACACUACAAAGAGAAUGAGUAACGCUGGAAAUAAGAAGAAUACACUCACCUGCAAAUCAAAGGAAUGAAUAAAUACAGUUUGGAGAGCGAGCGGCACGCCCCUCCCCUCCGUCAGCCCGGCCAACUGAGUCUGUUGCAUGCUGGGAUAGGGGAAGUGCCUGCCGGGGCUCCACAAUGGCGGGCGGGUGGAUUUCGGACCCUCCUCUUGUGUUGGUGUUGGCGGGGAGGCCUUCACAGUCUGCUCAGCACAGCUGGAUCCCUCACAAACCUCCCUGACUCGGCUUCAGUCUGCAGCCUCUCUCCUCACUUCACAACGGAGAAACAUGUUUAUUUCUGAAGGCCCCCGGUGCCGUCUCGGCUUUUGUAGGCCAGACGUGAGUAUCGCACCAUCAGGAUGGAGGACGGAUGCUGUUGCUCAAUCAUCGUUCCUUCAAACAGCAGAUUUAUUUCUUGUUUAUAAUCAGUAACUCUCUGUGUUUGAGCAUUAAUACAGUGUGCUUGUGCUGGUGUAAAAAAGAUCAAUUCAGAUCAGACUCUGAAAACUGUUUGGAAAGCUAUUAGCAAUAAACCACCCAGUUAAUUUUUAUUUUACAUUCUUUAUUAAUGUACCAGGUUUCUAACCUUAAACAGUCUGCAGUUAAUGUAAUUAGGUGAUUUGAAGAAAU